rnacentral:rRNA from 1 species
GAGACUCUGUGCGCGUGCAUAUCAAUAAGCGGAGGAAAAGAAACUAACUAGGAUUCCCUUAGUAACGGCGAGUGAAGCGGGAAGAGCUCAAAUUUGAAAUCUUCAAGGUUCUACCUUGACGAAUUGUAGUUUAUAGAAGUGUUUUCUGUUGGAGUUUCGGUAAAAGUUCUUUGGAAUAGGACAUCAUAGAGGGUGAGAAUCCCGUAUUUGACCGUUACUUUCCAGCUGUGUGAUACACUUUCAAAGAGUCGGAUUGUUUGGGAAUGCAGUCCAAAAUGGGUGGUAAAUUUCAUCUAAAGCUAAAUAUUGGCGAGAGACCGAUAGCGAACAAGUACCGUGAGGGAAAGAUGAAAAGAACUUUGAAAGGAGAGUUAAACAGUACGUGAAAUUGUCAAAAGGGAAGCGUUUGACACCAGUGUUGUUUAGUUGAAAAUCAAUUCAAUAAUUUUUGAUUUUAAGUAGUAUUGACUUCAUCAGCUUGCUGCUUUCUUUUCAGGAAUUAUUGAAUGCACUUUUCAGUUAACAAGUCAACAUCAAUUUCUUUUGUUGUAAAAGGGUAAGAGGAAGGUGGCUUACGCUUCGGCGUAAGUGUUUAUAGCCUUUUACCUCUGCAAUCGGAGAGAUUGAGGACAGCAGCGUAGACUCUUCGGGGUUAGAUACACUUGUGCUAAGCUAUAGCCUUGUAUAGACAACUUGUUGACUAUGCUCAGUCAUGUAGCUUACUCGCUUGUGCUAUUUUACCUACGCUUAGGAUGUUGAACUCUAUCACACACAG